rnacentral:rRNA from 1 species
UGGCGGACGGGUGAGUAAUGUCUGGGAAACUGCCUGAUGGAGGGGGAUAACUACUGGAAACGGUAGCUAAUACCGCAUAACGUCGCAAGACCAAAGAGGGGGACCUUCGGGCCUCUUGCCAUCGGAUGUGCCCAGAUGGGAUUAGCUAGUAGGUGGGGUAACGGCUCACCUAGGCGACGAUCCCUAGCUGGUCUGAGACGGAUGACCAGCCACACUGGAACUGAGACACGGUCCAGACUCCUACGGGAGGCAGCAUG